rnacentral:rRNA from 1 species
UACGUAGGUGGCAAGCGUUAUCCGGAAUUACUGGGCGUAAAGCGCACGCAGGCGGUCUGUUAAGUUUGACGUGAAAGCUCCCGGCUUAACUGGGAGAGGUCGUUGAAGACUGGCAGACUUGAGGCGAUGAGAGGGGUGUAGAAUUCCCGGUGUAGUGGUGGAAUGCGUAGAUAUCUGGAGGAACACCGGUGGCGAAGGCGGCAUUCUGGACCGACAUUGACGCUGAGGCGCGAAAGCCAGGGGAGCAAACGGG